GGAAGUAUAAGUCGUAACAAGGUUUCCGUAGGUGAACCUGCGGAAGGAUCAUUAUUGUAUAACCGAGGUGCGAGGGCUGUCGCUGACCCGAAAGGUCGUGCACGCCCGAGUGCCCUCACACACAUCCAUCUCACCCCUAUGUGCACCACCGCGUGGGUCCCCCUUUGGCUUGUUCGGAGGGGGGCUUACGUUUUCACACAAACUUUGUAUGCAGUGUAGAAUGUAUUUUUUGUUUUUGCGAUCACGCAAUCAAUACAACUUUCAACAACGGAUCUCUUGGCUCUC
rnacentral:misc_RNA from 1 species